rnacentral:rRNA from 1 species
GAUGAACGCUGGCGGCGUGCCUAAUACAUGCAAGUCGAGCGAACAGACGAGAGUGCUUGCACUCUCUGACGUUAGCGGCGGACGGGUGAGUAACACGUGGGUAACCUACCUAUAAGACUGGGAUAACUUCGGGAAACCGGAGCUAAUACCGGAUAAUAUAUAGCUUCGCAUGAAGCAAUAGUGAAAGACGGUUCUGCUGUCACUUAUAGAUGGACCCGCGGUGUAUUAGCUAGUUGGUGAGGUAACGGCUCACCAAGGCAACGAUACAUAGCCGACCUGAGAGGGUGAUCGGCCACACUGGGACUGAGACACGGCCCAGACUCCUACGGGAGGCAGCAGUAGGGAAUCUUCCGCAAUGGACGAAAGUCUGACGGAGCAAUGCCGCGUGAGUGAAGAAGGUUUUCGGAUCGUAAAACUCUGUUGUAAGGGAAGAACAAGUACGUUAGUAACUGAACGUACCUUGACGGUACCUUACCAGAAAGCCACGGCUAACUACGUG